rnacentral:lncRNA from 1 species
ACCCACCCCGCCCUCCCAGCGGCGCGCGCCCGCCGAGGUAGGUGUCAGAGAGCCGAAUUCGAAUUAUUUGCGACGCCCGGACGGAGUUUCGUAUCUUCGGACGAGAAAAGUGCGAUGGGAGUGCAAAGCCUCCCCUGCUCGAAGCAGCAGGCGCGCCGGUGUCACGGGAGCCGAGGAGCGGUGGCCGUGGCUGUGGAGUCGGUGCUCGAGGCGUCCUCCCAGGUGGACACACAACUUGGAUAUCAACAGGGAGCAGAAAACAAACCCACUAGCAGGACCAAAAGGCAGACCCAUCAGCAGAACACAGGCGGCAGCUUCCACAAGUAACUCCAAAACUGAAAGUCAAAUCCAGGAGAAGACUGAGGAAG